GAUGAAGAACGUAGCGAAAUGCGAUAACUAAUGUGAAUUGCAGAAUUCCGUGAAUCAUCGAGUCUUUGAACGCACAUUGCGCCCCCUGGUAUUCCGGGGGGCAUGCCUGUCCGAGCGUCAUUGCUGCCCAUCAAGCACGGCUUGUGUGUUGGGUCCUCGUCCCCCCCGGGGGACGGGCCCGAAAGGCAGCGGCGGCACCGCGUCCGGUCCUCGAGCGUAUGGGGCUUUGUCACCCGCUCUGCAGGCCCGGCCGGCGCUGGCCGACGCGAAAGCAACCAUUUUUUCUCCAGGUUGACCUCGGAUCAGGUAGGGAUACCCGCUGAACUUAAGCAUAUCAAUAAGCGGAGGA
rnacentral:misc_RNA from 1 species